GGAGAGGUAGCCAAGUGGUCGUACGGCGGCGGUCUUGAAAACCGCUUGGGCGCAAGUUCACGUGGGUUCGAAUCCCACCCUCUCCGCCU
rnacentral:tRNA from 3 species